CUGGGUAUGAAGUUGAAACGAAGCAAUCCAUUAUCUGAAAUUCAACUAAGAAACUAAAAGAGAAGAGAAUGGAAGAGCAUAUGCUGGAGUUUCUUCAAUGGAGGCCUUGAGUGCUUCAAUGAUCCUUGCUUUCUCCCUUGAAUCACCUUGGAGGAUAGGGUUUUUAUGAAUCUUCAGUGAUCUCCCUUAUUUUUGGUGAAACAAACCUUAUAAACCUGUUUUAGGGCGUCCUUCUUUGACUAGGAAAUGAUUCUCUCCCCAAAACCCCACUUAAAACAUGAAUAAGGCAGGUUGUCUGGCACUGGCACACCUUGGGCAUGCAUUUACCUUGCUUACACGCCUGGGCAUGUACUUCUCAGGUUGAUCUCAGGCUGCUUGGUUUCUUGUUCUGCAUGCCCUGAGUGUGCACUCCAUGAAUCUACACGCCCUAGGCAUGUACUUUUCUGCUCGGAAUGCCACUUGACUCCUUGAAUUUUUCCAAUUAAGCCCUUUGUGCCUCAAUUCAAAUGGACUUUUAUUCCAAAGGACUUUUAGACUUAAAUUUCUAUUUCAAUUCACCAAGAAUAAGAUCAAAUCACAAUAAUAACUAUUAAAAUAAAAAAUAAAUAAAAAAGCACUAAAACUAAUGAAUUCAUACAUAACAACCAAUAAACACAUGCAAAGAUGACCCAAAAUAUUAUGUAAAAUACGAGCACACCAUCUUUUACUCUGUUUAGCAAUUUUCUACAACUUACAUUUGGAUGGAGGGAUUUCAAAUUAUGAGAUUUGACUUUGAUAAUGUGUAAUUCUUUGAUUGAUUAGUUUCAUUAAUCUAGCUUGGUUUCAUGAAUGUGGAUGAAAACCUUAUUUGAGUGGGAAUUUGAAAUACCUAUAAAGUGGUCAUUUCAAAUCCACUUCAAGUAAAAUUUUGAUGCACAUCCUUGGAUCUAAUUAAUUAAAAAAUUGGCUAACUUUCAUUCAAAAAAUUUAAACUAAAAGUCAUUUCUAAAUCUUUCAUGUGAAAUUCUUCCAUCCAAAUUUGGCAAUAAUGUAUCUGUUUCUAACUGAAAAUGCAGGUCCUCACAAGAUUCAAGGGAUU
rnacentral:misc_RNA from 1 species